CCGAGGCUGCGGGAGAGGACGAGCGCGCCCCAUUUUCUCCGCGGAGCCGCCCCCAGCCCUCCUGACCUCCGCGCCCCUUUAAAUCCUCCGCGGGUCUCCCCGCCCUUCCUGCUGGGAUGGGAGGAGACCUUAGCGGACGGUGCUCUGCCUGUGCGGCCAGAUGAAAGGGGGACUGGGAAAAUGAAGCCAGCUCUUGCCUCCAAAAGGAGCCUCUCGGCCUCCCAGGGUGUCUGGGUCAGAAUUGAGACGUUCUGGGCGAGGAGGUGUUGGGAGGGGAGUAGGAGGUCGGAAGGAGAGAGGCCGACCCAGUUAGCUCUGUUCACACCGUCCCUCUCUAGGAGCGGAGCCUACACCUGACUUGUUUGGAAUGUGAGCUUUUGCAGGGGACAGAGGCCCUGGCACGUAGAAAGUUCUAAACUGUCUGAGCACAAAGAAAGGAUUCAUAUGGGAGCGAAUAGAACAAGUAAAGACGGUCAGCUGUGGUCACAGUGGAGGAACUGAAGAGUUUAGACUUCACCAGCUCUUAGAGCCCUGUUUUCUUUGAAGUGGUUACAACCGAGUACUUUGGUGUGGCCUAAAGAGUUUGAAGGUAUACAGUUAAAGGACCUGGAAAUAAGAUUGGGCUGGCCAUUGGGGCCUUGCUUUUCUCAUCUGUGAGAUGAUAGUUGUGAAAAUGAGAUUAGACUGUAUGAAAUAUUCUUCGUAAGCCAUAGGAUAUGUUAUACAAAUGCUUUAGUUAUUGAAACAUCUAUAAAUUGGUAUACAAGUCAUGAUUACUGUAGUUGCAAUACGGAGUUGGUGGGGUGCUUCAGAUUUGCAAGCUGUAGGAGGUGGGAACAGGACUGAAGGGCUAUGUGCUGAUGAAUCUCCUUCAGCAUUGCUGUGGAAUGGAUAUGCUUCCCCAAAAUUCAUAUGUGUUGAAGCUCUAACCCCUAAUGUGACUAUAUCUGGAAAUAGGGUCUUUAGGAGCUCGCUCUCUCCUCUGCCAUGUGAGGGUACAGCAAGAAGGCGGCCAUCUGCAAGCCAGAAACAAAGCCCUCAACAGAACCUGACCAUGCUGGCACCCUGAUCUCAGAUUUCCAGGCUCCGGAACUAUGAGAAAUACAUUUUUUUGCUUAAACCACUCUGUGAUAUUUUGUUAUGGCAGCCAGAGCAGACUAAGACAAAUAUGUCUUCGCUUGGAGCUAAGCGCCCCUCCUACCACCUCCACCACCUGGCGUUUUGUUCAGCACUUCCACAGUUGUCUCAUUUUUAAUUUGUAACCGUGUAAGUUGGAAUUGGCAAGAUUUAUUUUAAAAUGAAGAAGCUAAGAAACAAAAAGAUUAAAAGGCCUGCUGAAAGUCACACAGAUUGUGAAUGACUGAACUAGAACUAGAGUCUCCCCAGACAACAUCUAGUCCCUAGCAUCUGCCAGGUUCUGGGCUAGAUUCGAGGGAUAAGGAGAUGAAUAUGAUUUAGAGGUGGAGAGGGUACAGUCUGGUCAAGCAAAGAAACGUGAACAAAUCAUUACAUCAAGUAGAAAAGUCUGCAAGGAUUCAUUGGCCCAGCAGGUAAAUGGGAAGGGUGGCCCAGGCAGGGGAAGACUGGGAAAACAUGGCUUUGGGGGAGCCACAAGUGCUGCUGAGGAUAGGGUACAGUACAGAGAAGGAAGGGGCAGAGAUGUCCCAGAUGCCAUUGGAGAUUCAGCUUUGCUUUCACUUUCCCAAGGACUCAUGGCCUCCCUAGGGCCCUGGCCAAAGGGGAGACCUGAACUUAGAGAUC
rnacentral:lncRNA from 10 species